AGUGGCGGUCAGGGAUGGAGCUGCUGCCAUGACAACCUUGGCGGUCGGGGCCCGCGCGCGUCGGGGCUGCUCCCGGGAGGAAGGCAGCGCGGAGGCCGGGGGCGGCCGCUGAGCUUGGAGUCCGUGGCUCCGGUGCCGACUGCGCUUCGCCUUCUGCAGCGAGCCAGAGAGCGGGCUAGGGACCGCUGCGGUCCGCCCCUGCCCCUGCCGCGCCGCUCCAGCCUCGCUGCUGCGCUGCAGAGGCAGCCCAAGCUGCGGCGCGAAUCUGGGCUCUGAGGAAGUUGACCGUGGCUCUGCGGCAGGAUUCCCGAGUCCGGAUUGCACGAAGCCGGCUUAGUAGACGCCUCCUCGCACCAUCCGUGCCGCCUCUUGCGUGCUCUACUUUCCAUCUGCUAUUGUUCCCGAUUGUUUCUGGCGGCGAGCCUUGCUCUGAAACUUAAGAAAGUGCUGGAUUUCCCCUGGUUCGAUUGAGGAAUCGUAGACCACAUCUGGGUAGCUGGCUUCAACCUAGCCACAGCCCCGUUGGAUACCAAAGUGCUUACUCCUGUCCAAAGUGCCAUGCCUGAACUGCUACGGGGAAGAGGCAGCUUCUGAGACCCGCACCUGUGCGCCUGCUUGCCUGCCUUGCGCUUCUCUUUCCCGGCCACCUUCCUGGCUACCGGCAGCACGGAGAAAGUCCGCCUCGGAUGUGUGUGGAAACUGGUUCUCGGAGGCUGCGAGCUGAGGCUGGAUUUAGGGGAGGAAUAUUAGACUUAGAGGAGUCUGCGCGCUUUUCUCCUCCCAGUGCAUCGCGCGGUCGCCGCUAGUUCAUCGGCUGGGUCCCCGCGCUCACUCCCCACCCCACCCACUUCCUGUGCUCGCCCGGGGGGCGUGUGCGUGCCACUACCGGAGUUCUGGGAAGUUGUGGCUGUCGAGAAUGGGGGUCUGUGGGUACCUGUUCCUGCCCUGGAAGUGCCUCGUGGUCGUGUCUCUCAGGCUGCUGUUCCUUGUACCCACAGGAGUGCCGGUGCGUAGCGGAGAUGCCACCUUUCCCAAAGCUAUGGACAACGUGACGGUCCGGCAGGGGGAGAGCGCCACCCUCAGGUGCACAAUUGACAACCGAGUCACCCGGGUGGCCUGGCUAAACCGCAGUACCAUCCUCUAUGCUGGAAAUGACAAGUGGUGCCUAGAUCCUCGUGUGGUUCUCCUGAGUAACACCCAGACCCAGUACAGCAUUGAGAUCCAGAAUGUGGAUGUGUAUGAUGAGGGCCCUUAUACCUGCUCGGUGCAGACAGACAACCAUCCUAAGACCUCCAGGGUCCACCUCAUUGUACAAGUAUCUCCCAAAAUUGUAGAGAUUUCUUCAGAUAUCUCCAUUAAUGAAGGAAACAACAUCAGCCUCACUUGCAUAGCCACAGGUAGACCGGAGCCUACAGUAACCUGGAGACAUAUUUCUCCCAAAGCAUUGUCAAAACAACAUCUCAGACAAGCCAGCACAUGUAGGAAGACCUCACUACAACCCAUGCCCUCUUCUCAACUUACAUCACUCUUUUACUCAAGAAUCCUCUCCUUGCCUCAAGACCAAGAUGCCAAUUUGAAAGCCUCUGAUGACACUCCUCAGCCACAGCAAGUCAUUCAUUUCUUUGGGAUCCAAGAGCAGUUUCACACAUUUCCAAUCUGGGACAAUGGCUUUUCUCUGGUCACCCACAGAGACCUGAUAUUCUCAAGUUACCUAAGAGAUCACAGAGUCCAAGAACAGCCCCUACUGAAGUCAUUUUACUUUAUCUCCGAGGCCUGCUGCAGAAACACUGCAAGGGAUAGUGGCAGGAGGUAGUAGAGAGUGCUGGGGGGAUGAUCCUAUGAGCCUUCAUGUUUAUUUGUAUACACUGAGACUUUCUGUCUGGUAUGGUUGUACAUGCCUGCAAUCCAAGAAGCAUAAGAUGCAGAAGCAGAAAGACCACCAAAAUAUUGAUGCACACCUGCUUGACAUAAUGAGUUCCAAGCUAGCUAGGUCUAGUUCUGAAGUGGAACUCUGCCUCAAACCAAAGCAAAAAUAAAAAUAAACCCUCUGGACAUAAUUUAAACUCAAAUCAAGUCUUUGAAGGUAAAGAGUAAGACACAGAGCUUCAUUUCUUUGCAUCAUUUAAAUUCUUUUAGUAUUACGUGUGUGUGUGUGUGUGUGUGUGUGUGUGUGUGUGUGUGUGUGUGUAUAAUUGAAUGCACACAGCUCAAAGCUCUAUGGGCAACUUGGGAAAGUCAGUUCUCUUUGACCAAGUGGAUCUUGGGUCUCAAAUCAGGUUGUCAAGUUUGUUAUCAAGCUCUGCUUACAUACUAAGUUAUCUCAUAGGCUUAAAUAUUGAAAAAGUACUGUGUUAGUUAAGGUUUCUGUGGAGAGACACUAUGGCCACGCCAACUCUUAUAAAGGGAAAUAUAUCAUUGGUGCUAGCUUUCAGUGUCAGAGGCUUAGUCCAAUAUCCUUAUGGCACUGUGCAGGCAAACAUGGUGUUGGGGAAGGAGCUGAGAGUUCUACAUCUUGAUCCACAGGCAGCAGAAGCAACUGUGAGCUACACUGGAGAUAGCUUGAGCAUAUGAGACAUCAAGAUCCUUAGUGAAAAUUCCCAAGGAAUCCUACGUUGCUAUCAAAAGGACCAGAAAAAAUCCUACUGAAACAGGUAUUUCAGUGCUCAAUGGUGGUCAGAGAAGAAAAAGAUGUAUCACAGUAAAAGAGGUGACCUGUUCCAAGUACUGUGGCAUGUAUAGUAUUGGUUCUGAAACACAGAGUCAUGUACUAUGAUGAACAUCAAACUAUGGCACAACCUCACAUUAUAGGAGAGAAAAAUCAUGAAAAGACCAGUGGAGAAAUUAAUGAGUUCGAUGUGCAGGAAUGGAGAACAUAUGCAAUCACGCCUCAGUCUAGAAACCAAGGGCAGAAGUGCACACCACAGGAGCUGUUUGUGGUUUUACCCAAUUAUUUAAAAACCCUUGAAAAAUGUUGUAGAAUCAGAUGUCUGCUGAAUUCAGACAUUGCUCACAGUGAACUCCCCCAUCCUCUCCCGAGUCUUCAGCUAUUUAUGCUAGUGCUUGGUGACUGUUACCAAGAAGAACGGUUUUGAUGGAAGAAAAGGGGAAACAAAAGCAAGGAGAUGGAGUCGUCUUUCUCGCAGAUGCCAAUCAGCAUGGCUCGAGCAGAAAUGCAAGACUUGUGUGCGGACCCCAACAAACAGCAAAGGAGAAGGGGGCUUCAGCAAAUACUUCUGAGAGGAAGAGACAGUAAAGAUGGGAAAGAAGUGUACAAGCCAAUGAAGACGAAAUUGUCUGAAAGGUUGAGUCUGUUCUGGGCAUUGUCCUAAAUGUUUAUAUGUGUAAUCCUGUCCUGAUAAGGUCCUGUCCCAACACAUUGUCCUCCUUUUUAAAUUAAUCUGCUGAAUCUGAUUCAACAUGCAUGUGGCAGCAGCUGCUUGAACAUAGUCACCCUACCAGGGGUCAUACACCUAAGAAAAACUGGGUCUCCUGUUGCUAUCAGCUAUCAACUGUCAAUAACUCCCCAGCUAAGUGUGGUGAUUGUAUGAGCCUCCAUUUACACUGGAACAUUGAUGGGCUUCACCUUGUGCAGAUUUCUCUCUAGAUGGUUCAAAUAAUCAAGAAAUUCAAGAAGUCUUUCGAUAUAGCCAGCAAUGGGCUCAAAAUGAGUGCAACUGUUCCCUGGAAAUCUUCAGGCUUCCUCCUUAAAAGCUCAGUAGCAAGAAUUUAUCUCAGUUUCCUCUUUCAUUGAUUUUCACAAACACCACCACUGUGGUUUAGAGAGAAGAUAGAUUGGUGGAAAGAGAGUCUUUAUGGCUUAGUAGAGGAUUCUAGGGACAGCAGAAAAAGGAACCCUGUGCAAGUGACUUUCACUGAACAUUAUCCCUAACAAAGCUUUCCAUGGUGUGAAACUAGUGUUAGAGCACAUGUAUGGACUAUAUUGUUUAUGUUGUAUUCAUUAUAGAGCUGGAACCAUAAUGAUGAUUUUCCUUUUAAAAUAUAAUCAUGAUUUUAAACAGGACAGAACCGGGUUAAGUUCAUAUUAUCUACCAAACUCUUCUAUAUAUGUAAUCUAUUAUGUAUAUCAUAUGUGUUUGGAUUAAAACCCUAGUUAAUUUGUUCAUCUA